GAUUAACGCUGGCGGCAUGCAUAACACAUGCAAGUCGAACGAUGAAACUUAGUAGACUUCUUCGGAAAGACACUAAGCGGAUUAGUGGCGAACGGGUGAGUAACGCGUGAGUAACCUGCCUUACACAAGGGGAUAGCCUUUGGAAACGAAGAAUAAUACCCUAUAAAACCAUAAAAGCACAUGCUAGAAUGGUCAAAGUGAUAGCGGUGUAAGAUGGACUUGCGUCUGAUUAGCUAGUUGGUGAGAUAAAAGCUCACCAAGGCAACGAUCAGUAGCCGGCUUGAGAGAGUGUACGGCCACAUUGGGACUGAGACACGGCCCAGACUCCUACGGGAGGCAGCAGUGGGGAAUUUUGCACAAUGGGGGAAACCCUGAUGCAGCGACGCCGCGUGAUUUAGAAGGCCUUCGGGUUGUAAAAAUCUUUUGUAUAGGAAGAAAAUGACAGUACUAUACGAAUAAGGUCCGGCUAAUUACGUG
rnacentral:rRNA from 1 species